UACGUAGGGUGCAAGCGUUGUCCGGAAUUAUUGGGCGUAAAGCGCGUGUAGGCGGCCAGGUAGGUCCGCUGUGAAAACCCGAGGCUCAACCUCGGGACGUCGGCGGAAACCAUUUGGCUAGAGUCCGGAAGAGGAGAGUGGAAUUCCCGGUGUAGCGGUGAAAUGCGCAGAUAUCGGGAAGAACACCCGUGGCGAAGGCGGCUCUCUGGGACGGUACUGACGCUGAGACGCGAAAGCGUGGGGAGCGAACAGG
rnacentral:rRNA from 1 species